rnacentral:rRNA from 1 species
GGAUGCGAUCAUACCAGCACUAAUGCACCGGAUCCCAUCAGAACUCCGAAGUUAAGCGUGCUUGGGCGAGAGUAGUACUAGGAUGGGUGACCUCCUGGGAAGUCCUCGUGUUGCAUUCCCA